rnacentral:lncRNA from 1 species
GGUGGCUGGCCUGACCUUGAUCAUCUGCCUGUGGGGCUCCCUGGGGCACAGUUGGGAAUUUGUCCAUGGCACUGGGGCCUGGGCAUGGGAGGCAAGGCCGGGCAGUGGGAGGUGCCCUGAAUUGGUGAUCCAGCCACUUAAGCACUGAACCUCAAUACAGGAGACGUCACAGGAUUGCUGUAAGGAUCUAAAGAGCUGCCUCAGAAGAGAAGAAGGAACGGACACAAAUGAAAAUCAGAACACUAAAGAGAUUCAAAGAUUUGUCAUUUCCCUUCUGCUCAUGAAGGCCCUUGAUAGCUACACACGCAGUCAAGGCAACAAGCAAACCUUCCACAUCCACGGUGGAUGGAGGUGCUCUUGAAAGGGGAGCCUUAGGAUGAAGGCAAAGGAAAAUGACCAGAAGGAAAGGACGGUGGGAGCGUAAAGAAGACUGACCUUGCACGGGGAAGGUGUGGACUUCUAGCCCAGCUAGAACUGGACGUCUGCUUCCCCGACCCCAUGUCCUUGAGAAGGUCAGCUUCGAAGCCUCAGUCUCCCCACCUAUGAAACGAGGAUGCGGGUCUCCAACUCACCCACAGUGCGGCCCCCUCGAAAGACUCACGUGGUUUAAUGACUCGUAAAGCACACAUCAUAAACGGCACCCACGUUCUAGAAGGCUU